rnacentral:tRNA from 1 species
UACCUGAAAGCGAAGUUACGCACUAAGUUUCGGCCUUAGCUUUGAGACUGCCAUCUCUCAGGUAG